GAUGAACGCUGGCGGCGUGCCUAAUACAUGCAAGUCGAGCGAACGGACGAGAAGCUUGCUUCUCUGAUGUUAGCGGCGGACGGGUGAGUAACACGUGGAUAACCUACCUAUCCGACUGGGAUACCUUCGGGAAACCGGAUCUAAUACCGGAUAAUAUUUUGACCCGCAUGGUUCAAAAGUGAGAUACGGUCUUGCUGUCACUUAUAGCUGGAUCCGGGUUGCAUUAGCUAGUUGGUAAGGUGACGGCUUACCAAGGCAACGAUGGAUAACCGACCUGAGAGGGAGGAUCGACAGCCGGGAUGUGAGAAAGGGCCCAGACUCUGACGCGAAGCCGCAGCACGGAAUCCUACGCAAUGCGGGAGUGCCUGAUGGAGCACAGUCGGGUGAGUGCUGAAGCUGCUAGGAUCCGAAAACGAUGUUAUCAGUGAAGUACAUAAGUGCAAUUACCCGUGAAGAUAUUGACGGUACCGAAACAGUAAGCUCCGGCUAACUCCGUG
rnacentral:rRNA from 1 species